GACGAACGCUGGCGGCGUGCUUAACACAUGCAAGUCGAACGGAAAGGCCCUGCUUUUGUGGGGUGCUCGAGUGGCGAACGGGUGAGUAACACGUGAGUAACCUGCCCUUGACUUUGGGAUACUUCAGGAAACUGGGGCUAAUACCGGAUAGGAGCUCCUGCUGCAUGGUGGGGGUUGGAAAGUUUCGGCGGUUGGGGAUGGACUCGCGGCUUAUCAGCUUGUUGGUGGGGUAGUGGCUUACCAAGGCUUUGACGGGUAGCCGGCCUGAGAGGGUGACCGGCCACAUUGGGACUGAGAUACGGCCCAGACUCCUACGGGAGGCAGCAGUGGGGAAUAUUGCACAAUGGGCGGAAGCCUGUUGCAGCAACGCCGCGUGCGGGAUGACGGCCUUCGGGUUGUAAACCGCUUUCGCCUGUGACGAAGCGUGAGUGACGGUAAUGGGUAAAGAAGCACCGGCUAACUACGUG
rnacentral:rRNA from 1 species